rnacentral:rRNA from 1 species
AUUGAACGCUGGCGGCAUGCCUUACACAUGCAAGUCGAACGGCAGCACGGGAGCAAUCCUGGUGGCGAGUGGCGAACGGGUGAGUAAUGUAUCGGAACGUGCCCAGUCGUGGGGAUAACGUAGCGAAAGCUACGCUAAUACCGCAUACGAUCUACGGAUGAAAGCGGGGGAUCGCAAGACCUCGCGCGAUUGGAGCGGCCGAUAUCAGAUUAGGUAGUUGGUGAGGUAAAGGCUCACCAAGCCAACGAUCUGUAGCUGGUCUGAGAGGACGACCAGCCACACUGGAACUGAGACACGGUCCAGACUCCUACGGGAGGCAGCAGUGGGAAUUUUGGACAAUGGGCGAAAGCCUGAUCCAGCAAUGCCGCGUGAGUGAUGAAGGCC